rnacentral:rRNA from 1 species
UACGUUCCCGGACCUUGUACACACCGCCCGUCAAGCCAUGGGAGUUGGGAGGACCUGAAGCCAGUUGCUGUAAGGCGCUGUUUAGGGUUAAACCAAUGACUGGGGCU